AUUGAACGCUGGCGGCAGGCCUAACACAUGCAAGUCGAGCGGAGCGGCGGACGGGUGAGUAAUGCCUAGGAAUCUGCCCGGUCGUGGGGGAUAACGUACGGAAACGGGCGCUAAUACCGCAUACUAUCAGAUGAGCCUAGGUCGGAUUAGCUAGUUGGUGGGGUAAAGGCCUACCAAGGAGACGAUCCGUAAGUGGGCUGAGAGGGUGAUCAGUCAAACGGGAACUGAGACACGGUCCAGACGCAUAGGGGAGGAAGCGGUGGUGGAGUUUGGGAGAUGGGCGAAAGCAUGAUCCAGCCAGGCCGCGUGUGUGAAGAAGGUCUUCGGAUUGUAAAGCUCUUUAGGUUGGGAAGCGGUACCAACAGAAUAAGCAUCGGCUAACUUCGUGCCAGCCGCCGCGGUAAUAC
rnacentral:rRNA from 1 species